CUGGGACACUCUCCACCUAAAAUACAACCCCUUGAGGUGCUGAGGAACAUUCCAGAGGCUUCUUCCACUUGCCAGCCUUUCAGCUAUUUACAGAACUUUCCAGAGCAGGUUAUCUGCGACGGAAGCAGUGAUGCAGCACCCACAUGUCCCAGAGGAAGGGUUGUCAGCUGACAGCUCACAGCUGGAUCACGCUGGGGGAUUUUUUCUUUCCCCUGGGAGAAAAUGUAUCUACUGACUGAUUGAGAUGGGGAACAGAAGCCUGGCCCUUUGCGUAUCUGGGCUGCUGACGCAAUAAAAUGGAGACGCUGUGACCUGCUGUCAGGGCUUUCACAACUGGUCCCGCAUGACCAUCCUGCCUGACAACCUCCGCUUGGCUUCAGCCUUUCUUUUGCUGGAUGAUUUCAGCAAGUCAGACCCUCUGCCUGCAUUUGCCUUCUCGUUUAUAAACCAAAGACAGGAUUAUUGUGAGAAUCAAAGAAAAUAAUGGAUAUAAGCA